UGAUCACCGACAAGGGACAAAGAAAGGAAGAAAAUUUAGUCUCUGGAUUGAUUUUUAUUCAUUAUAUGAGAGCAGUUUCAACAGUCCAAUUAAUUGGGAUGCUUGGUCAUGUGAUUGAUUAAAUUGUGAAUUGUCACAUGACACAAGAGGCAAAGAGGAGUGCGCCUGCUGCAACUGUGUCGCUCUUUUCAUCUUUUUCUCUUAAUUUAUUUGUUUCCCAGAUCUUGAUCUUUUAUUUAACAUUUUCACCAAAGUGGUAGGAAUAGAAAUAUAGAAAUACCAAGGGAAAUGAUUCCUCUUCUCACAUGUAUAUACUUGCUACAUGUCAGAGCAAUUCCAAGAAAAGAGACUGAAAGUUUGGAAGAGCUGGUGCAAGAUCGAGGAAGAUAGUGCUAUGGACAUUAAGGGUCGUUUGGUACGAGGUAUAAGAAGGACAAGAACAAUAUAUGAUUGAGGCUCGGAAAUCAAGGUAGGAGCUACGAUUGUCACAACAGACAAAUUGGUGAUCAGCAAGUCACAGUUUGAACAACUGUUUCUACAGGAUCAAUAAGAUCGGUCGGAUGAAGUUUGACUGGGCGUUGAUCACGGCUAUGACAGAGUGAUAGCGACCAGAGACGCACACGUUCAUCUACCCAUCAGCGGGCUACCACCACGCUUGAGGACGUGAAGGUUCUUUUUAGGCUGCAUGUUGAUGGUAUACGUGUAGCUUACCCGCAUGCUAUGUGAGACUAUACGGGAGUGGAUUACCUUCAUAUAUUGUAGCGGAUCACCGGUUUCCAGCCAGCGGAGCCGAAUGCCUUGAGUGAGGCCAGUCGGUUGCAGUUGACGCCUGUUCGGCAGCAUCUGGUGUCGAUGGAUGCAGAGAUUACUGAUGAUUCACUGCUAGAGGAUAUUGACUGACACACGAGACUGUUGUUGAUGUUUGGUGGUAUACUGUUCCCGAACACUUCGGGAAACCUAGUCAGCUUGAGAUUUCUACAUCAUCUAGAGUAGCUAGAUGAUUUAUCUGGUUACAGCUGGGGUGCAGCUGUUCUAGGCUACUUGUAUAGGCAGAUGUGUCGGGCUUGCAUAGGCACCCAGAGAGACGUUUCCAUAUUUUUAUCA